rnacentral:rRNA from 1 species
AUUGAACGCUGGCGGCAUGCCUUACACAUGCAAGUCGAACGGCAGCAUGGGAGCUUGCUCCUGAUGGCGAGUGGCGAACGGGUGAGUAAUAUAUCGGAACGUGCCCUAGAGUGGGGGAUAACUAGUCGAAAGACUAGCUAAUACCGCAUACGAUCUACGGAUGAAAGUGGGGGAUCGCAAGACCUCAUGCUCCUGGAGCGGCCGAUAUCUGAUUAGCUAGUUGGUGGGGUAAAAGCCUACCAAGGCAACGAUCAGUAGCUGGUCUGAGAGGACGACCAGCCACACUGGGACUGAGACACGGCCCAGACUCCUACGGGAGGCAGCAGUGGGGAAUUUUGGACAAUGGGGGCAACCCUGAUCCAGCAAUGCCGCGUGAGUGAAGAAGGCCUUCGGGUUGUAAAGCUCUUUUGUCAGGGAAGAAACGGUAGUAGCUAAUAUCUAUUACUAAUGACGGUACCUGAAGAAUAAGCACCGGCUAACUACGUGCCAGCAGCCGCGGUAAGAC